GACUUAGCAGCAGCCACAGCAGUUAGACAUACAUCUUGUUAGAUAAGGGGGGCGGUCAGGAAAAAAAUCCUACUUGUUUAAACUGGUGGGGAUUUGGCUUUUUGAUAUGAGCAGCUGUCUUCUAACUCGUGAUGCUGCAGGGCCUCAGCACCAUUCUCAGCAGUAAGUGCAAUGUCAGGACUUUACACAAACCUGUUCCAAAAUCAGGAAGCAGCCUGAGGACCUGGAAACGUGUAAUAUCUACUGGCACAGAGAGUGACUACAAGACUUACUAGUUCUCUGAGAAAAAAUACAGAAUGAAGAAGUUUUGCCCUUUCCAGGUGUGAUUACAAAGCUGAUGGACCCUAAGAAACCAUACUUACUUAACAAACCCACAGAAGCCUUCAAUUAAUCACAACACACGGGACCUUGAGAUCCAGGCUUCAGCUGCCUAUACUCAGUGAUUACGUCUGCAGUUACUGAGGGAUCUGAAAGGGAAAAGUAUGAUGGGAAAGAGAAUGAACUCCAUUUUUUCAGUGACAUUUGGCUGCCAGUAAGGACCCUUUGGCACUGGGGUAAAAAGCUCCAGGGCCUAUACAGAAGGACAGAGAUCUCUGCCGGAGAAGAUUGCUGACUGGCAGUAAUGGGCAAUUGUGGAGACAGUUCUCAACUGGGAACCAAAGAAACUGGACACUGCCUCCCCCACCCCAACUCCUGAUGCAUUUAUCCAUCAAAGCGCUCUGAGCUGGACUCCAGGGUGAGGUUCCUGAAAGUUCCCUGAAGAGGAGCAUGAUGGUUCUGCACCACCGACACACUUAGGCAGAGACCAGGGAUGCUCAAGAGUAAACACUAUUAGGAUUAGGUUAUGCCGGUGGCAGCAGCGGACACACUCCUAAAUCCAGGAGCUUGACAAACACAAAGGAUUAUGUUUUGGUCAUGUGAAGUACGUGGGUCAGCACGGCUGUCUGUCAUCCAGUGACUCAAGAGUCCAGGCUCUCUCCAUCUUGUGCUGCGGACAUCUCACUGUGAGACUCCAGGGGCAUCCUGCAGGGGAGGAGAUGGAUGGAGAACGCACACUGACUGCUCAGAGUCUAGGUCAGAAGUGCCGUAUCCCUUCUGCUCUCAUUCUUAACUACCAGAACUCAGUGACAAGUCUCCAGCUCACGUGAAAGUCCCCUGGAAAGUGUCAGCACAUGGACAGUCAGUGAGCACUAGCUGUCUCUGGCUUCCCCGGUGACUCAGGGGUAAAAAACCCACCUGCCAAUGCAGGAGAUGUGGGGUUGAUCCCAGGGUCGGGAAGAUCCCCUGGAGAUGGAAAUGGCAACCCACUCCAGUAUCCUUGUGUGGAACAUCCCAUGGACAGAAGAGCCUGACUAGCUACAGACCAUGGGGUCGCAAAAGAGACGGACGUGAUUUGGGGACUAAACCACCACCACAAGCUGUUUCUGGAUGACUCAAUCAGGGACACAAAAUUACCAAGUGAAGAGCUGGUCCCUGCCUCCCAUUUUUGGAGUGGGUGGCCAAAAACCUCAGUUUUUAAUUUGAUACUCUUUUAAACUUCUCCAAAAAGAUAUUAGUUUGGGACAACUGAGGAAUAUUGCUAAGAAGUAGAUCUUCUCAACUGCAACUCAUCCCACAUAGAGAUGGAGCUGCCUUUAAGUGGCAGCAUCAUGCUGUUUCUUCACAACAUCUUGAGGACAACUAAAAUCCUCAUGUCAUUGUUCAGAGGAAAUGCUACCAAGCUGGGCUUCACAUUUUCUAAGUGGCCUCGUCACUCGACUUUAAACCUAAACACAGGACUUUCUGUUUAUUCUGUUCAGUGUCAUCCUGUUAUUUUCAGACACUUGCUUCAGCCUUCUGAAUUUUUCAUUUUAUCAUUUAUCAUAAUAGCUAUUUCUUCAGAAUUUGCAUCCUACACUCCCUGGAUGAGUAUGUCUUCGGUGUCUACAUCCAAGUUCUUGAAAAAUAUAGGCCAAGGGCAGAGCCUCCAGUGGAACCCCAGAGACACCUCCCCGAGGGGCAUCACAAUUCAUUACUAAGCACAGUGGGUCCCUUUGUUCCACUAGCUUCAGGUCUUCCUCACUUCCCACACUAUCAACCAGUUCAUAUUUCUCUGAGUUCUCAAGGAUUUCUUGAGAUUUCAUGACCUGCUUGGAUGAAAACGGAAUUCCUUGACCUACUCCUACUCCUUCAUAGUCUACUGGUUGAUGGCACCACCCAGCCACGUGCUGGAACCCUGGGCGCAGUCCUGAUCCUUCCCCUCCCUCGCCUCCUUCAGAAGGGGACGGCAGAGAGCAGGGUGGUGCUGCUGGCCUUCUGGACCACUGCUCCCUCCUGGUGCCCUGGCAGCGGCCUCUAAGCGUCUCUGUGCGUCUCUGGUCUUUUCUCCUCCUGUCCUUCCUCUUCAUCCUCACUGGAGUUCUUUCAAAACUGUGGGUCAUAUUCUCUAACACCCCUGGAUAAAACCACCCAAAUUCUAUAGUGUAAGGGCAAUAUUAAAAAGACUUAACAAGUAGUUGAGCAUGAGCAAUGAUCAAAGAGAAGGCCAGCAGGAAAAAAGUGGGGCAGCCCCCUAAGGGCUCCUAGAAGCUCCCUCCCACAGCUUCCACCCCGGGCAGUGGUUUUAGCAGACCCCGCAUUUGCAUCUCAACAGGGUAGUUCUCUUUUCUCCUUCCUUUCAAAGCUCCUUCUUGUCUCCUCUGAGGCUGGAAAGUUGUUCUUGUCAUCAUGCAUUUUGUCCCACUCUCUGGCUUUUGGUAAAAAAAACUGGCUAGUCUUUCGGGCUUUACUCUAUUGAGUCAGAACCGAGGUUUUAGCAUUCAAAAAUAAAUAAAUAAAUACAACAAAAGCUACC